UACGGAGGGAGCUAGCGUUGUUCGGAAUUACUGGGCGUAAAGCGCACGUAGGCGGCUUUGUAAGUUAGAGGUGAAAGCCCGGGGCUCAACCCCGGAAUUGCCUUUAAGACCGCAUCGCUUGAAUCCGGGAGAGGUGAGUGGAAUUCCGAGUGUAGAGGUGAAAUUCGUAGAUAUUCGCAAGAACACCAGUGGCGAAGGCGGCUCACUGGCCCGGUACUGACGCUGAGGCACGAAAGCGUGGGGAGCAAACAGG
rnacentral:rRNA from 1 species